CAGGCCCUGACAUCCAAUGAACUUUCCAGAGAUGGAUUGGUGCCUUCGGGAACAUUGAGACAGGUGCUGCGUGGCUGUCGUCAGCUCGUGUCGUGAGAUGUUGGGUUAAGUCCCGUAACGAGCGCAACCCUUAUCCUUUGUUGCCAGCACGUGAUGGUGGGAACUCAAAGGAGACUGCCGGUGAUAAACCGGAGGAAGGUGGGGAUGACGUCAAGUCAUCAUGGCCCUUACGGCCUGGGCUACACACGUGCUACAAUGGUCGGUACAGAGGGUUGCCAAGCCGCGAGGUGGAGCUAAUCCCAUAAAACCGAUCGUAGUCCGGAUCGCAGUCUGCAACUCGACUGCGUGAAGUCGGAGUCGCUAGUAAUCGCGAAUCAGAAUGUCGCGGUGAAUACGUUCCC
rnacentral:rRNA from 1 species